CCUACGUGUAGCAGCAGUGGGGAAUAUUGCACAAUGGGGGAAACCCUGAUGCAGCGACGCCGCGUGAGUGAGGAAGUAUUUCGGUAUGCAAAGCUCUAUCAGCAGGGAAGAAAAUGACGGUACCUGACUAAGAAGCCCCGGCUAACUACGUGCCAGCAGCCGCGGUAAUACGGAGGAUGCGAGCGUUAUCCGGAUUUAGUGGGUGUAAAGGGUGCGUAGGCGGAAUGCCAAGUCAGCGGUAAAAUCGCGGGGCUCAACCUCGCUCCGCCGUUGAAACUGGCGUUCUUGAGUGGGCGAGAAGUAUGCGGAAUGCGUGGUGUAGCGGUGAAAUGCAUAGAUAUCACGCAGAACUCCGAGUGCGAAGGCAGCAUACUGGCGCCCAACUGACGCUGAAGCACGAAAGCGUGGGUAUCGAACAGGAUUAGAUACCCGGGUAGUC
rnacentral:rRNA from 1 species